UACGAAGGGGGCUAGCGUUGCUCGGAAUCACUGGGCGUAAAGGGCGCGUAGGCGGCCAAGUAAGUUGGGGGUGAAAGCCCGUGGCUCAACCACGGAAUUGCCUUCGAUACUGCUUGGCUUGAGACCGGAAGAGGUGAGUGGAACUGCGAGUGUAGAGGUGAAAUUCGUAGAUAUUCGCAAGAACACCAGUGGCGAAGGCGGCUCACUGGUCCGGAUCUGACGCUGAGGCGCGGAAGCGUGGGGAGCAAACAGG
rnacentral:rRNA from 1 species